rnacentral:tRNA from 1 species
GCGAAAGUGGCGGAAUUGGUAGACGCGCUGGAUUUAGGAUCCAGUGGGUAAUUCCCGUGGGGGUUCGAAUCCCCCCUUUCGCACCA